GAUGAACGCUGGCGGCGUGCCUAAUACAUGCAAGUCGAGCGAACAGACGAGGAGCUUGCUCCUUUGACGUUAGCGGCGGACGGGUGAGUAACACGUAGGUAACCUACCUAUAAGACUGGGAUAACUUCGGGAAACCGGAGCUAAUACCGGAUAAUAUUUCGAACCGCAUGGUUCGAUAGUGAAAGAUGGCUUUGCUAUCACUUAUAGAUGGACCUGCGCCGUAUUAGCUAGUUGGUAAGGUAACGGCUUACCAAGGCAACGAUACGUAGCCGACCUGAGAGGGUGAUCGGCCCCACUGGAACUGAGACACGGUCCAGACUCCUACGGGAGGCAGCCGUAGGGAAUCUUCCGCAAUGGGCGAAAGCCUGACGGAGCAACGCCGCGUGAGUGAUGAAGGUCUUCGGAUCGUAAAACUCUGUUAUUAGGGAAGAACAAACGUGUAAGUAACUGUGCACGUCUUGACGGUACCUAAUCAGAAAGCCACGGCUAACUACGU
rnacentral:rRNA from 1 species